rnacentral:lncRNA from 1 species
AAGUCUGGUACGUCGGGAAAGUCAGAAUCGGGCUCAGGACUGGGGGAAGGUCUGGUGGUCUGUGUGGUGAUGGAUGACUUCCUAACCCAGAUCCCCUCUCUCUUCCGAAAUCCCAUCCUGUGUAGGGUCCCUGCACGCGUGCGAUCAGUCCAUCGCAAUGCGCGAAAGGGCUCCCCCUCAGGAAUGGGAAUCUCGUACUCCCUAAACAGAAGGGUGAAUAUCAUGCCGUAUGGGAGGGUGAGCCUAGGUCUAUCUAGUUGGGGAAGUUGAUCGGGGUGUCCUGAAGAAUAUAAAACAUAAGAGCUAGGUCUCUCUCAUUUACAAAAUCAAAUCUCCCUGUCUUAGGGAAGAUGGACCUAGACAGUAUACUCAAAAGGAUUCUCACCUCAAUCGGAAGUGAGCUAGCAGAAACCUCGUCUAGAGGUGACUGGGGUGGAUGCCC